AUCGAAUAGCAGGGGAGUCGUGCAAGCGGCUGAGAGGCGGGUGUGACCCGCGACCCUUUGAACCUGUCAGAUCAUGCUGGCGUAGGAAGAACAGAAUUGUUUCUG
rnacentral:ncRNA from 1 species